rnacentral:rRNA from 1 species
UACGUAGGGGCCUAGCGUUGUCCGGAAUUAUUGGGCGUAAAGAGCUCGUAGGCGGUUCGGUAAGUCAGGUGUGAAAUCUCCACGCUCAACGUGGAGGCGCCACCUGAAGCUGCCGUGACUCGAGUCCGGUAGGGGAGUGUGGAAUUCCCGGUGUAGCGGUGAAAUGCGCAGAUAUCGGGAGGAACACCCGUAGCGAAGGCGGCACUCUGGGCCGGUACUGACGCUGAGGAGCGAAAGCGUGGGGAGCGAACAGG